CUGAAGAAGAAGAAGAAGAAGAAGAAGACAUGUCUGCCCAAGCUUCGCCGCCGGAGUGACGACCACGCCGCUCGAUUCCUCCUCCCCCGCCUCCGCCGCCGGAUCGAGCAUGGACGGAGCCGCCGCCGCCGCCGCCGGCCAGCACCGCCGCCGCAGCCAGUCCUCCGCCAGGCCCAACCCCUCCACCGUCACCACCGCCACCACCGCCCGCCUCGGCGACUCGCUGAGGGGCUCCCCCGACGAGGCCGACGAGGCCCUCGAGUGCGACCCCGAGGUGUGGCGGAUGUUCAACCAGAGCUUCAGGCGGGUCCAGACCGUGCUCGACCGGAACCGCGCCCUGAUCCAGCAGGUGAACGAGAACCACCAGUCCAAGAGCGCCGACAACAUGGUCAAGAACGUGGCUCUGAUCCAGGAGAUCAACCAGAACAUAUCGAAGGUGGUCUCGCUGUACUCCGAUCUCUCCUCGGAUUUCUCCACCGCGUUCCACGGGCGAGAGGCGAACGGUGCCGACCCUGCGUCCAAAGAAAGCAGCCCCGAAUCGUGAGCCCUAUCGAAACUCUUUCUAUUGAAUGGAAAAUUUUUUUCUGGAGGAAUGAAGGUCCAGUUGCCUUGGGUUUGCAAAUUAGGAUGACGAUUGACUAGGGUUUGCCAUGAACAGAUAUUCUCCGGCUUCUAUCUUUGUUCGUGGGUGUUGAUUUCAUCAGAUUUGCUGGGCAAGAACAGAUGGAUUGCGCUUUAGGAGCGCUGUAAUGACUUUCGCCCAACUUUGAUCUGAUGUAAAGAGCUCGAUCUGUUCUAGCUGUCUUACUUGUAUUCAUAUACUUGCUAUGUCCCUUCGGUAUAAAUCUCACAUUAUGGGAGGUAACCGUGUAAUUUCUCACAUCCGAUCUGAACUUAGGGCCUUAUCUCCCAAUGACGACCCAUCGUCAUUGCGCAUAAGCCCCGAUUGUUUGUAGGUGUCUUUACUUGUGAUAGCCAUUGCUUUGGCGAUCAAGUCAAUGGACGGAAUCUUCAUUUCUUUAUUGGCAUAA